GUUUAUUGAAAGCCAUUUAUUGUUCUCUCCACUCCACUUCAAUACUUUUUUUUUUUUUGGUUUUCCAUCGAUAUUCGGUACCCGCAUUGGAACCAGAUUAUGUUCCGAUUCGCGUCGCGUAAGGCCGCAUUCGGGGGGAAGCGCUCCCUACCAAAGAUUUUUCUAUACCCAGAGCUCAAACUCGAGACCUCUGGUCAAGGGAGGAGCAGUCUCAUCCACUGCACCAUAUCCUUCGUUCUGUGUACGGUCAAAUCAAGGAUAAUGUUACCCCGAUUUCCGAUAAAAAACGAAAGGGAAGCAUGAUUUGACAUGACCUCGGAUAAAGCUGAGGGGUUCCGCGUCUCAAAGCCCGGGGAGGACGAAUGGUGCACCCGGGGCUGGAGACCGUAGAGCAUCGGGUCCGAGAAGAGUGAAGGGCAGAGGCUAAGGAAAAACGGUUAGACACGAUAAGCGGGGAGCCGUAAUAUCCGUCCCCAACCGGAUGUUACGGCGCAAAUCUCACCCGGUAUCGACUGCAUAUCAACGUUUACUAGAAGGAGAAGAUUUUUUACAUUAUUUAGACUUGUACUAGGAUUGAACUCCCCUAAUAUAUAAAGGGGAAAACCUUUUCAUUUUAAAGA